CUUAUAUAUCUUAUAUUCACAAUCCAUUUACCCAAAAAUCCCAAAAUCUGAAAUACGAUCCAUGACUUGCUCAUCAUCUAAGUGUUUGUGUCGUCUCCGUCAGGUCACUCCAGUCUCCACUAGUCCACCUCCGCCCUUCUGCUGCUUAUCGCUUCGUACACCAGUUCCCAAAAUCUUUGAGAAGCCGGUCAAAGUCUGCUCGUCGAUCGAAUAUUGGCUUAUUGGGCAAACUGGCAAUGGGCAUUGAUUGACAGAGUCACAGAACGAUAACUGCACUUCUUUUGGAAUUUUGAGGGGUUUCAAUGGUUCAUAGAUUUGUAACAUAUCCUUCAUAUUUCUUAAUGUUUUGGGAAAUUUUAAGAGAUGGUCUCUUAUUUGUGCAUUGUUGGACCGAGUUCUUUCAGUCUUUUGUUCUCCACAAUGCUGACUUGUUGUCUAGUUGUACCGAUGGUGGAAAAGCAUUUAAAUUUCCAAACAAGUAUGAAGAACCUAUAAAUUUCUCAAGUUAAAUGUUAAUGAUCUGAACUUUGCACUGAACAUUCAAGGUUUUGAAAACUAAAUAGGCCCGAUUGGUUCAAUUCUUGUGUUUUUUUAGUUCGUCCCCUUAUUACAUUUUAAAUUGUCAGGUAAAUUGGAGAAAAUCUCCAGCAGUGGCAUCCUAAUCACAGUGUAGUUGUGAAGGAAAUUGAAAAUAUGAACAAGAUUAAAA
rnacentral:lncRNA from 1 species